rnacentral:rRNA from 1 species
UGAGGAAUAUUGGUCAAUGGGCGCGAGCCUGAACCAGCCAAGUCGCGUGAGGGAAGACGGCCCUACGGGUUGUAAACCUCUUUUGCCGGGGAGCAACGGGCGCCACGUGUGGCGUCACUGAGAGUACCCGGAGAAAAAGCAUCGGCUAACUCCGUGCCAGCAGCCGCGGUAAUACGGAGGAUGCGAGCGUUAUCCGGAUUUAUUGGGUUUAAAGGGUGCGUAGGCGGAGCGUUAAGUCAGUGGUCAAAUUGAGGGGCUCAACCCCUUCCCGCCAUUGAAACUGGCGCUCUUGAGUGGAAGAGAAGUAUGCGGAAUGCGUGGUGUAGCGGUGAAAUGCAUAGAUAUCACGCAGAACCCCGAUUGCGAAGGCAGCAUGCCGGCUUCCUACUGACGCUGAAGC